rnacentral:rRNA from 1 species
UACGUAGGGGGCUAGCGUUGUCCGGAAUCAUUGGGCGUAAAGCGCGCGUAGGCGGCCCGGUAAGUCUGCUGUGAAAGCCCAGGGCUCAACCCUGGAAUGCCGGUGGAUACUGCCGGGCUAGAGUUCGGAAGAGGGAAGUGGAAUUCCUGGUGUAGCGGUGGAAUGCGCAGAUAUCAGGAGGAACACCUAUAGCGAAGGCAGCUUGCUGGGACGCCACUGACGCUGAGGCGCGAAAGCGUGGGGAGCGAACAGG